rnacentral:rRNA from 1 species
AAAUAGAUACCCCGGUAGUCCACGCCGUAAACGAUGAGUGCUAAGUGUUGGAGGGUUUCCGCCUUUCAGUGCUGCAGCUAACGCAUUAAGCACUCCGCCUGGGGAGUACGGUCGCAAGACUGAAACUCAAAGGAAUUGACGGGGGCCCGCACAAGCGGUGGAGCAUGUGGUUUAAUUCGAAGCAACGCGAAGAACCUUACCAGGUCUUGACAUCUCCUGACCGCCCUGGAGACAGGGUCUUCCCUUCGGGGACAGGAUGACAGGUGGUGCAUGGUUGUCGUCAGCUCGUGUCGUGAGAUGUUGGGUUAAGUCCCGCAACGAGCGCAACCCUUGGUUCUAGUUGCCAGCAUUCAGUUGGGCACUCUAGAGCGACUGCCGGCGACAAGUCGGAGGAAGGUGGGGAUGACGUCAAAUCAUCAUGCCCCUUAGUGACCUGGGCUACACACGUGCUACAAUGGAUGGUACAAAGGGCAGCGAAGCGGCGACGCAUAAGCGAAAUCCCAGAAAACCAUUCGUCAGUUCGGAUUGCG